GACGAACGCUGGCGGCGUGCUUAACACAUGCAAGUCGAACGGAAAGGCCCCUUUGGGGGGAGUCGGGUGGCGAACGGGGGAGUAACACGCGCGUAAGCUGGGCAUGACUCCGCGAAAACUUUAGGAAACUGGGGCUAAUACCGGGUAGGAAUCAUUUCUGGCUGGUGGGGGGUGGAAAGCUUGGGCGGCUUUGGGUUGAGGCGCGGCCUAUCAGCUUGUUGGUGGGGUAGCGGCUUAGCCAGGCUGAGACGGGAAGCCGGCCUGGGUGGGCGACCGGCCACAUUGGGACUGGGAUUCGGCCCCGACUCCGACGGGAGGCAGCAGUAGCGAAUAUUGCUAUAUGGGCGGGAGCCUGAUGCAGCACCACCGCGUGCGCGAUGACGGCCUUCGGGUUGUGAUCCGCUUUCAGCAGGGGCGAGGCUUGUGGUGACGGUACCUGGAGAAGAAGCACCGGCUAACUCCGUG
rnacentral:rRNA from 1 species